rnacentral:sRNA from 1 species
UUAGUUGGUUGUGGUGUACAUGAAAACUCCGCAGUUAAGCAUGCUCAUGUGGGAGAAGUACUAGGAUGAGUGACCUCCUGGGAAAUCUCCACCGGGGUAACUAAA